ensembl:snRNA U6 U6 spliceosomal RNA
AUGCUCACUUUGGCAACACAUAUAUUAAAUUGGAAUGAUAACAGAGAAGAUUAACAUGGCCCCUGCUCAAGGAUGAAAUGCAAAUUCAUGAAGUGUUCCAUAGUAUA